CAGUAGCCGCGGGAAUACGUAGGGUGCAAGCGUUAAUCGGAAUUACUGGGCGUAAAGCGUGCGCAGGCGGUUGUGUAAGUCUGAUGUGAAAGCCCCGGGCUCAACCUGGGAACUGCAUUGGAGACUGCACGGCUAGAGUGCGUCAGAGGGGGGUAGAAUUCCGCGUGUAGCAGUGAAAUGCGUAGAGAUGCGGAGGAACACCGAUGGCGAAGGCAAUCCCCUGGGCCUGUACUGACGCUCAUGCACGAAAGCGUGGGGAGCAAACAGGAUUAGAUACCCGAGUAGUCCCUGUCUCUUAUAC
rnacentral:rRNA from 1 species